GACGAACGCUGGCGGCGUGCUUAACACAUGCAAGUCGAACGGAAAGGCCCUGCUUUUGUGGGGUGCUCGAGUGGCGAACGGGUGAGUAACACGUGAGUAACCUGCCCUUGACUUUGGGAUAACUUCAGGAAACUGGGGCUAAUACCGGAUAGGAGCUCCUGCUGCAUGGUGGGGGUUGGAAAGUUUCGGCGGUUGGGGCUGGACUCGCGGCUUAUCAGCUUGUUGGUGGGGUAGUGGCUUACCCAGGCUUUGACUGGUAGCCGGCCUGGGAGGGUGACCGGCCACCUUGGGCCUGCGAUACGGCCCAGACUCCUACGGGAGGCAGCAGGGGGGAAUAUGGCACAAUGGGCGGAAGCCUGAUGCAGAAACGCCGCGUGCGGGAUGACGGCCUUCGGGUUGUAAACCGCUUUCGCCUGUGACGAAGCGUGAGUGACGGUAAUGGGUAAAGAAGCACCGGCUAACUACGUG
rnacentral:rRNA from 1 species